rnacentral:tRNA from 1 species
AGUGAACAUAGUUUAAUUAAAACCCUAGCCUGUGAUUCUAGAAAAGAAGAC